UUGUUCGGAAUUACUGGGCGUAAAGACGCAUGUAGGCGGACAUUUAAGUCAGGGGUGGAAAUACCCGGGGCGUCAACCUCGGAACUGCCUUUGAUACAGGGUGUCUAGAGUGUGGAAGAGGCAAGUGGAAUUCCGAGUGUAGAGGUGAAAUUCGUAGAUAUUCGGAGGAACACCAGUGGCGAAGGCGGCUUACUGGUCCAUUACUGACGCUGAGGUGCGAAAGCGUGGGGAGC
rnacentral:rRNA from 1 species